CUGUUCAGUCACGUGACUUUUUGCCGUGUUCGGAAAUUCAGCUUAAAACAAGCUCGCACACGGCAACGCGUAUUUUGUUAUUGCGCGUGAUGGCACUUAUUUUAAAUCGUCGAAUUCGGCACCUAUUUCGCUUAAGACAGAUGGUGUAUGGGCAGAUAGUGAUUGUUAAGUACCUUAAAUUUGUUUUUUUGAAUGAGACUUGUUUAAACGACCAACAGUGUAUUCAGAUUUCGACGAGGGAAAUGUAAACUUGGCGCAAACAGAGGAAAGUGCAUGACGUAUCAGUCUUGGAAUGAUGGCUAUUAAUCAUGGCUAUGUGCUAGAUAUUCCAGUUAACAUUAGACACAGCUACUAAACUAAAGCACCAAAGCUAGCUAGCUACCUAGCUAUAUAUAUAUAUUAGCCGAAGUAGUGGACCAGAAUAUGGAGUGUAUGAUGUUGUGUUUAAUUAUUCCAUACCACUGUGUGGUUAAUAGAUAAAGGUGCUAAAAGGUGCAGUUGUUCCAUUUUCAUCUGGUCUGCAUAUUUAUACUCUGUCAAAUAUUUUGCAAGCUUUAAGAGUGUUUGUCAAAGUUUUAUAGUUACCAACUUAGUGUUUUACAGUGGUUCCUGUGGACUUUCUUUUUACAUUUCCUUAAAUUUGAAAUAUCUUUUCAGCUAUUACGUUAUUUUCUCUGGCUGGUCUGCAAAUAUAAAUUUCGUACAUUUCUAUGAAGUCUCUCAAUGUUAAGAUUACAGUUUAUAAACAUUUUUGCCGGUUAUUGUAUAAUUGUUUUGCUUUUAUACAUUGAUUUUAUGUUAUUUUUGAGCUACAGCAUCAUUUUUACUAUCUGGUCUGCAAAUUACACUCUUGUCAAAUAUUUUGUACUCUUCAAGAGUGUUUGUAAAAUUUUUGAAUAGUUACUAAUUUGUGGUGUUUUAUUAUGUUCCUGUGAAUUUUUUUCGCAUUUUCAUCAAUUUGGAAAGAUUUUUUCAACUAUGACGUCAUUUUUUCUAUCUGGUCUGCAAAUUACACUCUUGUCAGAUAUUUGUACUCCUUAAGAGUGUUUGUAUAAUUUUUGAAUAGUUACUAAUUUGUGGUGUUUUAUUAUGUUCCUGUGAACUUUUUUUGCAUUUUCAUCAAUUUGGAAAGAUUUUUUCAACUAUGACGUCAUUUUUUCUAUCUGGUCUGCAAAUUUACACCCUUGUCCGAAAUUUCGUACACUCUAAUGAACUUUGUUUAACGUUAAGAUUACAGUUUAUAAAAUUGUUUACUGGUUGUUGUAUACUUUCUUGCGCUUUUAGAGCAAUUUGUAGUAAUAUUUGAGCUAUGACGUCAUCAUUACGUCAUUUCUAAAAAUAAACCAUCAAAAAUUAA